CAGAGAGACGUAUUUAUUAGAUAAAAAACUAAUGUUUGGGGGCAACUUCAAAUUUCAUUGGUGAUUCAUAGUAACUCAACGAAUCGCAUGGCUUUAUGCUGGCGAUAGUUCAUUCAAAUUUCUGCCCUAUCAGCUUUCGUUGGUAGUGUAGUGGACUACCAAGGCUUUAACGGGUGACGGAGAAUUAGGGUUCGAUUCCGGAGAGGGGGCCUGAGAGAUGGCCACCACAUCCAAGGAAGGCAGCAGGGGCGCAAAUUACCCC
rnacentral:rRNA from 18 species